rnacentral:rRNA from 1 species
UACGGAAGGUCCGGGCGUUCUCCGGAUUUAUUGGGUUUAAAGGGAGCGCAGGCGGGAGAUUAAGCGUGACGUGAAAUGUAGGUGCUCAACAUCUGCACUGCGUCGCGAACUGGUUUUCUUGAGUGGGUGCGACGUCGGCGGAAUUCGUGGUGUAGCGGUGAAAUGCUUAGAUAUCACGAAGAACCCCGAUUGCGAAGGCAGCCGACGAGUCCCUUACUGACGCUAAAGCUCGAAAGUGCGGGUAU